GAACAACACAAAAACUAAACGCUGUUCUUUAUCAACUGUGGCUUGAAAAAAAUACUCAGCAGCCACCUGCAGUCAACGUGUCUGUCAUGGGAGUUUUACAUCAUUACCUUGUCUCUGCAAAUAACACAAUGGAGGAGAACAUUCCUACUUGAAAGACACGAGGGAGCAAUUAAUCCAAAUCCAAUUUCUACAGAAUUCACAUUAUCCAAGAGCUUAUCAAACCACAGUCAAAUCAGUCAAAGAUCUUUAUUUAGAUCUGCACCAAACUACACACAAUCCUAGAUUUCAUUCCCCUUAAUAUGACGGAUUUUGCUGAUCAAGAUCAGUGCAUUAUUCUCUGGGAAAUCAUUGGCAUCUGUCAAAAUAUGUCCCAUCUCACAAUAUUAAAGAAAGCGAUGAAGAACACAACUUAAUUUUGCUGCCAAACCAACCAACCAGCUGAUAGGAGUGAAAACAUAACCUCUACUGUGGAGGAAACAGUGUUAAGUUGUGCUGUAUUUCCUCAAUGAAAGAAAGUUACCUCUGUGUCAAUCUGAUUUCUCUACAUCACUUCCUGUCUCUCACUCUGAUCCACAAAGCACAGCAGAGACUGUCGCUGGUUCUUCAUUUUCAACAUGACGCCAUCUCGUCUCAUCACAUCCAUCAUCACUGUGUUCUGGAUUAAGGGAGUUUACCUCAGUAAUGACAAACCAGUAUUUCAGACUCCAGCCGAUCUGUUGAUAAAACCAGAUGGUGAAGUCAACCUCAACUUAACACAUCAAAUCCCGAACUAUAACCAGAUUCUCUGGUACCAGCGCUCAGCAGGAGACAGUUCCCUGAAGCUGAUCGGCUAUGUUUAUUUUGAAUCACCCAAUAUUGAGCCAAAGUUUUUGAGCCGCUUCAAUGUGAGUGGAAAUGGACAGAAAACAGCUUUUCUUCAAACCAAGAACCUGAAGCACCCUGAGGACAGCGGAGAAUAUUUUGGAGCAGCAA